rnacentral:snRNA from 1 species
AUACUUAACCUGACAGGGGAGAUACCAUGAUCACAAAGGUGGUUUUCCCAGGGCGAGGCUUAUCCAUUGUACUCCAGAUGUGCUGACCCUGCGAUUUCCCCAAAUGUGGGAAACUCAACUGCAUAAUAUGUGGUAGUGCGUUUGUGCUUU